rnacentral:sRNA from 1 species
GGCGGGGCUGAUGACUCACGCAGUCGGGCCUCCGCCCCGCCGGGCCGCGCGCACGUGAGCGCGCAGCUCGGCCGGUCUAAUUUUAGCUCUGAGGUGUCAGGGUCGUGUGAGCUUCUGGCACCAUGAAAACACGGAGAAAGGUUAUAGGUCAGUUCCAGUUCUAUUUUUCUGUCCCGUAACCAAGGAACGUGGGAUCUUUAGCCAAUGGAGUCUCACCAUCUUGUUCUGCAUGCAGAAUCCCUAUGCAGACUUCACAGAGAGCACCCCUUACAGAAGCUAUCAGAGCUGAUGGGUGGCGGUAGGCUGCAACGAGAAGACCUGAGACUUCCUGGACAACAGCAAUCACCAGAUGCCAGAGAGGCUCCCUCCCAUCGCCAGCUAUACAGCGUGUGCAGCAGCAUAAUUCGAUGCCCAAAGGUACAGAAUCCAAAGACAGGAAAUUCCAGGACUCCUAAGAGAGAAGCUGCCUUCAGCGUCAAGUUCCUGGCCUGUACAAAUCCAAAGAUCCCGCCUCAGUCUACCUGACCAGACAUUGGUCAUUGGCUCUUCAAUCAAAAACCAAAUGGAGACAAGGACCUUCAGCAUUUGGAUGGGCAGAUUCCUGAUUAGGGAGACUGGAUUAAUGCAAAGCAUUAGAAUCAAUCCCCAACAGCAAAGCGUCUUCUGGUCAGCUUCAUGCCUGCUUUCUCCUUUAGGGAUCAGCCAGAAAGAAUGGCUUGCUGUCUUCUACACCCCACCCUUCAGUUUCCUCCUCCUUGGAAUUUCGUCUCCAGGCUCUGUGCGGGCUGCUUCCUCUUUCUAAAUGUCAUCUCUGCUGUUUUCAUGGAUGUGUGCUCUCCCUCUCUGCUCAAAACAUCACAGGAUUCCGGCUCUCCUCAGUAACCUUUGCCCUUGUGAAUUCUUGACAUUCUCCUUGGCCACAUUGCCCUGUGUCAUAAUUCCAGGGCUGUAAAUUAAGAGUGUCACACAUCAGCACAGAAACUGCAAAUCUGUGCACGGAGCUCUGAGCACAGCCACAGAGGGCAGCUUCCUGGCUGGCCCUUGUGCCUCUGUCUCUGAAUGCAGCUGUGUCCCAGUGCUUAGUUAGCCUUCCCUCUCCCCCACCAUCUUGGUGAAUUCACCAAGUCUAGCUCUAUGCCAGCAUGGGCUGCAGCAGCGCAAGCCCCUCCUGAGUGAUCAGAUCACUCAACCUCCAGUACCCUCUGGCUCCUACAGCCAGUGACGGCUGUGCUGUCCUUGCUUAGGCCGCACCGGAGACACAGCUGACUUCUGUUCCUCAUGCCUGCAUCCCCUUCGACCUGCCAACAGAUUUGGACACUUGCUCCUCUUGCCAUUCUGCUGUGAACCACACAGCCCUUGCCUGCUUUGUCCAGUUGACAUUAAUGUCUCCCUGCUUCCUGGUAUACGCUGGCUUCCUCUGUAAUUCAGACAGCUAACUCAGCAGCCCCAUUCUCCUGGGAAGUCAGCAGUGGCCUCUCCUCAGCCCAGAGCCUUCUGAUGGUAUCAUGUCCUAAUUCUAAGUAAGAACUGGUGUCCUCUCAAUGGCCUGUGUAGUUCCUAGCACUGUGGUACUUCAGGUGUACCCCAGUUCCAGGCCUGGACAAUAGCCUCCUCUCUGCUUGGAACAUGUUUCUAAGUACCUGCACAGCACAGGUGCACGGCACAGGUGCACAGCACAGCUGCUUGGCACAGGUGCACCUUUGGGUUUAUUCAGUUCUUCCUAGCAUCCCCACCCUUUCUUUGUCCUUUCUUUUUGUCUGUGACACUUACCCCAGAUGAACAUACUAUAUACUUUUUAUUCCAUUGUCUUUCUGAUAGAGUGGAAGCUCCUGAGAGGAUAGGUUUUUAAUCUGACACAUUGUGGGUGCCCAGUAACUAUGUUUAAGUGAAGGGAUGGACGGGAGAGAAUGGUUCAGAUGUCCCUGAGUCAGCUUUCCUAGGAGGAGGGGUGUGUUUGUCCUGUAUCAAACUGGAUGCCAGGGAAUAGUUAGAGAAAAUGUGCUUCAGACCAUCAAGUUCAGCUGCUGGUCCCUUGACUGAUACCCAGGCCUAGCGACAGGAAAAGCAUCCCAAACAGCACAGCACACUGACGUGGACUCCUAGCUCUCAGUCUGCCUCGUAAUCCUCUUGUUGCUCACAGUCAGAGGUUAGUCUCCAGAGUUCUACGUCUAGGAAAGGGAAUGAGGUGUGAGGAGGGGGUAUUUUUAGCCCUGCUGGUUUGGUUUCUCAGCACAAGUGUCUAAAGAAAGCUCCGGUUUUAGUAUGAAAUCAGGAAGUAAGAGGACUGAGUGGCUUCUCUGGAGAUGGCUGCGUGAGCCCAUUGCCACACAGGAUUAGGCCACAGCAAGUUCCCAGGAAGCGUCUCUGCAGAGUCAUCCAAGGCUCAGCAGUAAGAGCAUUCGGUCCACCGGUUAGAAGGGCCACCCAGACAGGCUGUGGGCAGUCAGACUCUCAGUGAGGGAAGGUGGGACUCAAAGUUCUGACAAUGGGGACUGCCAUGCAAGCUCCCAGGGGCGGGAGUGGGGUUUGGGGGGAACAGAUGCGAGCUGCCUGUGACAGUGACAUGAGGCCUUCCUUCCCCUUUGGAAGUUGAAGGUACAGAAGAAGCGAACACGCAGGAGGGCAAGGGUCAUAGUCACCUAGAAAUGACGGCUCGAUGUGUGUACCACGGAGGAGUGGUGGGAAGCAGCCUGGUUGGUAAUGCAUUCCAGGAGAACAUGGCUGCUGUGGACCCAAUGUCCCCACUAAAACUCCUCCAUAAAGUGUUCUGAGGGAGCACGCAGAGCUGGGUCAUGAUAGCUUGGUCCUCAUGAAUAGAUUAGCCCAUCCAUGGGCUCAAGUGUCCGUCAGCUUCCUUCCAUCUCUCUGGGUUCAUGGUCUCUGAGACACCGUUGCCUUCCAGCCUGUGACAAGGCAGAGCAUCUGGGGGAGAGAAGGGCGGGGCAGAGCAGCACACCUCAUGGCAGCCGAGAAGCAGAAGGCAGAGCGAAGGGCUGCUAACAUCCCCUUUGAGAGGGUUCCCAGAGUGACCAAAUGACCUCCCAUUAGGUCCCACCUCUUAAAGGACAUACCCCUUCCCAAGAGCCCCGUGAGCUGGGGACCCAGCUUUUUAGGCACAGGCUUUCGGGGGACACUUACCUAGAUCAUAACAAUGAGUUCCCCUCACAACAGGUCCGUUUGAAAGCCAGUUUGGUGCACUGUAGGAUGCCCCGUUUUGCCAUGUGAUCCCCUAUGCCAUCUAGAAUGCUAAAGAGCAGUGUUUCUCAACCUGUGGGCUGUGACCCCUUUGGGGUCACCUAAGGCCAUUGGAAAGCACACGUUGUUACAUUACAAUUCAAAACAGUAGCAAAGUCACAGUUAUAAAGUAGCAACAGAAAUGAUUUUAUGGUUGGGGGUCACCACAGCAUGAGGUACUGUAUUAGGUUGAGGUCCACUGCUCUAGUGAGGGCCUUACCAGCAAUGAGAACCUCAGAAGAUGGGGCGAGCCAGCCAUGAGCUUCCCAGCCUUCAGAGCUGUAGAAUAACCAGACUCUGGCGUGCCGUUGCAGCGACAGAAAACAGAGAAAAUGAAGCUCACAAGACUCGCUAGUGGGGCCGCCAAAGGAGAAAGUGAGGUAUCCGUGGCGGCUUCUGGGAUUCAGGAGACCAACUCAGUAAGCGGCGAUCUGUAACUAUGGCGAGAAGUGAAGUGGGCUGUGGGCGAAUUUUGUUCUGUUUUUCAAAAUGAUUUCAGACUACGUUGGCCAGUUGUACAUUGACUUAACGCGAGCUCCAGUCACCUGAGAGAGGGGAACCUAAAUCAAGAAAAGAUCAGGUUGUAGGAAAGCCUGUGGGGCAUUUUCUUAAUUCUUAAUUCUUAAUUAAUUAUUAAUUAUUGAUGGAGUCGGGCCCAGCCCAUUG